rnacentral:lncRNA from 1 species
GACACACAGCUGCAACUUAUUGUCAUGAACUUCCAGGAAAGAAGAUUCCCAGUGGGUUUGGUUAUUGUCAGUAAACCCAGUUAUAUGAAAAUCUAAAUUUCCACAGGGUCACUGUGGGCAGUUGGACUCACUGCUUCAGGGUUAUUUUUACAGCAGCUUUUGAAGGAAGAUUACCGUAACCAGCCUGGUUCUCUGGGGCAGAGGGGUGGGUCUUCGCUUCUCUCCAGUCCUUGGCUAGUAACCCAAAGUAAAACCAAAGAACUACAUACACAUAAAACACACAUUUA